rnacentral:lncRNA from 10 species
GACCCGACUCUGUGCCUGGCAGUCUAAGGGCUUCGGCUCUCACCUCCUAGUCCCUAGCCGGCCAGCCCCCGCUCGCCCCUCCUCUUCCUCCUCCUCCUCCUCCCACCUCGGCUCCAGAAAACCCUGGGCGUGAUGGGUACUUUACUGGGUAAGAGGAGACGGGUGCCCCCCACCCACUCCUCCCGGCCGCGCGGACCUCUCCCGCUCAGACCUGCAUCUGCAUUCCUUUGAGUUUACCACGGACUUGGGGCGGGAUCAAAGGGAAAGUGGCCUGAGCCUGUUUCAUCAAGGGGUUGUGGACCGAAACCAAGGCCGGGGGUGGCGGAGGGCACGCGGAUGAGGGGCUCAGGCCUAGGAAGGGCCGGUCCUGGACACCGCGCCCUCCCCUGCAGCCAGGCGCCGAGGCCUGCAGCACCCGGAGCGCCGCACUGACCCGCGAUUCUGCCCGAAGGCCGGCCCGGGUGCGCCCCGGCGCGGGGAGACACCAACAAGGCCAGCUUUUCCACGAGAGGCUGCUUAGCUCUUGUGACCAUAUUUGGUCUGGCGAGGAGGCAUCUUGGCUGCCUGGCUCUCAAUUGUCUGCUAGAGCACAGACGGUGCCCAGAAAGUGCCUCUGUCACUGGAGAUGCGGCUUCGCCAACGGGUGGGUUGUAAACAAACAACUUUCAAACCAUUCAUCAAUCCUUAAUUUCCUCUACGGGGGUGACUCAGGCCACUAGAGAUUGAGAAGAAAAAGCUGGGUGUUGGAAGAGAAGAGCAAUUGCACCCCCCUCCCCCGCAACAUCCGUGAGGGUUGUGGGAGGAUUGGAAUGUCCCUGCCGCCCUCCGGGGAGCCUGGAGCCGGGAUGGAACCCGAGCAGGUGGCUGGAAGUAGAGAGGGUGCGCCAGUGACCCGAAAAAAGCCACCCACCUUCCCACCAACUAGAUCUGGGCGAGGGAUGGAGACCCCCUGCCUCUAGCUAAGGGAAGAAGGUCAAGUCUGGCGAAACAGCUGCGGGAAGUAGGAGGAGGCCUUGCCCUUCAGAGCAGCUCAAUUUCUUUUCUCUCUGGUUGCCUCUCCACUGAGGGGAAAGGGUGGGGGGAGAUGGCGAGGUAAGCCAAAUUCCAGGAAGCCCCUACUCCACCCCAUUUGAUUCAAAUAGGAGUUUAUUAAGUAAAUCAAACGAGACAAUGUAAAGCACUUCGCACAGCACCGGGCUGGUUACGUAAGUGUUUGUUAAAUAAAAGAGAACUGUAUGUUCUUCAAGGCUUGAGUGCAAUAGCUCCAUCUCAGCUCACUGCAACCUCCGCCUCCCGGGUUCAAACGAUUCUCCUGCCUCUGCCUCCCAAGUAGCUAGGAUUAAGACGCCUGCCACCACGCCCAGCUAAUUUUUGUAUUUUUUAAAAGCAAAAAUGGGGUUUCACCAUGUUGGCCAGGCUGGUCUCAAAUCCUGACUUCAGGUGAUCCGCCCGCCUCAGGCUCCCAAAGUGCUGGGAUUACAGGCAUGAGCCACCGCGCCCAGCCUGCCUUAAUAUUUUUACAGGGUAAAAUAAAGUCGAAGUUAAAAUCUGGAGCUGCCUUGGAGGAGAAAAGUUUAAGGAAAAGACAAGGCCACUCAUAGUUUUGCCUCGGAAAAGGUAGAAUUUUGGGGCCACUCCCUGAAUGGCUGCAUCCAUAUCCAAAACAGAACCACCAAAGUGAGCCACUUCCCCUGUUAUCUGUACUUGGAGGUGGCUCCAAUUCCAGACUCCUCAUAGACUGGAAGAAAUUAGGGCCAUCUUAGACUAAGGCAGGCAUACACGUAUCAUCCUUUUUUUUUUUUUUUUGAGAUGGAGUCUCACUCUAUUGCCCAGGAUGGAGUGCAGUGGCAUGAUCGCGGCUCACUGCAACCUCUGCCUCCCUGGUUCAAGCAAUUAUCCUGCCUCAGCCUCCCGAGUAGCUGGGAUUCUGUGCAGCAAGUCCUCUGCCCAUAGGACUGGCAAAAGGAAAGGGGAAACUAGCACAGGUCACUCCUUGGAAAGUAGAAUCUUUGCAAGCUACUCUCAGAAGCCAUCACAGUUGCAACAACAGGGGAAAUAAGCUAUCGAACAAGAGGAAGUGACUGGAACCUAAUGAUACUAAUUCAGAAGUCACAAGGCUGACUUGAUGAUUAAAAGAUGAAAACUUGAGGCCAGCCCUACUCUAGGAAAGUCCUCACUCCCGAAGAAAGGAGACCUGAGCCACUAAGUAAGAAGUCCAGUUACCCUGUUGGAUAAACCACAUGGAGAAGGAAAGGCCCUGAGAUACUUGGAGAGAGGGAAAAGUCCAGCUGCCCAGCACCUGAGCUGAGCCCAGCCUCAGCCAACCCCACCGGCUGACUGCAAACACAUCAGUGACCACCAGUAAGACCAGCAGAGCUGCACAGCCAAGCCCAGCCCAGAUUGCAGAAUUGUGAGCAAAUAAAAUGGAUAUUGCUUUAAGCCACAAAAUAUUGAAAUGUUUUUUAAAUGUAGAAUGUGCAUUCUAAGAAUAAAAAGUUGCAAAU